rnacentral:rRNA from 1 species
AUUGAACGCUAGCGGGAUGCUUUACACAUGCAAGUCGAACGAGUGGCGGACGGGUGAGUAAUAUAUCGGAACGUGCCCAGUAGCGGGGGAUAACUACUCGAAAGAGUGGCUAAUACCGCAUACUAUUGGAGCGGCCGAUAUCGGAUUAGCUAGUUGGUGGGGUAAAGGCUCACCAAGGCAACGAUCCGUAGCUGGUCUGAGAGGAUGACCCGCCACACUGGGACUGAGACACGGCCCAGACUCCUACGGUAGGCAGCAGUGGGGAAUUUUGGACAAUGGGUGAAACCCUGAUCCAGCCAUCCCGCGUGUAUGAGAAGGCCUUCGGGUUGUAAAGGACUUUCAGUCGGGAAGCGUUACCUACAGAAGAAGCACCGGCUAACUCCGUGCCAGCAGCCGCGGUAAUUC